ACCGUUAUGACGUAUAUCACAGCCAAAUUCUACGUCAUGCACAUCUCAGAAGGGAUGUAACUAUUAAUCAGAAGCAACAUUAGACACAUCAACAGUAAUUUCAGCUGCCGUCAGUUGAAAUUUGGGUGUCAUGCCCAGUUAACAGGGUCAAGCCAUCGCAGGUGCCCCACUAUGGACGAUUCUCAGGUGUUGAAAAAACGGGGCUAUACCCAGGGUAUUAGUUUAGGGGAAGGGUCUUAUGCCAAGGUCAAAUCAUCUUAUUCUGAGCAUCUUAAAAGGAAUGUCGCUGUUAAAAUAAUCAACAAACAAAAGGCUCCCAAAGACUUCUUGGUCAAUUUUCUACCACGAGAACUUGAUAUUAUGGCAUGCCUAAACCACAGGAACAUCGUGAAAACCUAUGAAAUAUUCGAAGCCUCUAAUGGGAAAGUGUACAUAGUGAUGGAGCUCGGCGUGCAAGGCAACCUGCUGGAGUUCAUCGAAUUCCGAGGUGCGUUACCCCCAGAAUUUUGCAAGAAACUUUUUCGUCAGAUUUGUCACGCGAUUACAUUUAUCCAUGACAAGGACAUAGUUCACCGAGACAUCAAAUGUGAGAAUCUUCUCCUGGAUAAAGAUUUCAAUUUAAAGGUAGCUGAUUUUGGAUUCAGUCGGAGGCUCACUUACAGUGACGCUGGCGCGAUGGAACUCAGUAAGACGUUCUGUGGAUCUGAGGGCUAUGCUGCACCUGAAGUUCUGCAAGGAGUCCCUUACGAUCCGAAACUGUAUGACGUCUGGAGCAUGGGCAUCGUAUUGUACGUUAUGGUGUGUGGAUCCAUGCCAUUUGACGACUCAAACGUCAAGAAGAUGAUCAAAGUUCAAAAAGCGCAUCGACUGACAUAUCCGAGGUCUGUAGUGAUAUCGCCCCUUUGCAAAGAACUAAUUUACAGGAUACUCCAUCCUGACCCUAAGAAGCGCAUGAAGGUUGUCGAGUGUUUAGAGCAUUCCUGGCUGCAAGAAGAAUGCGACGCUACGGAGAGCAGUAAAGUGUGCCAAAAUGACAAUUGCGAAAAAAGAAAUAUCAUCAAGGCUGAACCAGAAGUUGAGCCAGACUUAGCUCAGCAGUAUGUUGCAAACUAACCGUUUGGUACAGGCUGGAGUUCCUUCAAAUCCUAUGCUACUGGAGUGAGAGUGAUUUUCUUGUCAGACAUGGCUGCUGUGGUGAGGAAGAUGAUAAAGGUUCAGCAGAUGCUGGGGAUUUCCUGGAGAUUCAGAUGAAGCCAGUUUUCCCUCAAACAGGCAGCUAAUGAUACACCAGAGAGCUGCCAUUAAAGAGGUUCCCUCAUUUAAGUUGAAAGUUAUUGUUUACCAUUUGUCACACCGUCUGUGAUAUCCUACUAAUCUACAUAGAAACUCUCUACUAAAACAAAUACAUCCAUUGUCAAAAAAAUGGAUGUCUAAAUGACAACAAAAAGGUAUUUGGACAAGAUCUGAUUGUCAAACUAAGCGGAAAAUGUCUAUCAUUAACGUGACUAAGAACUGUGGCUUAUCUGUUUGGCCAGCAUUGUACUUUGCUCUGUACGGACGACCCUGUACCCUCGAGUUUUUUGUCCACUGCGCUACAAGGGCGCCUAGAAAGGUGACAUUCUAAAUGUGAAAAGGCUUAAUAAGGCUUAACGUUCCAAAAUGGUUAUCAUAAACACUAACC